CCCAAGGAUGGAAGCCUCAAGGCAUUGAGUCUGAACGGGACUUACUGGUUGAGAGCCAUGCCUGCCUGCUAAAGGACCUUGUGAAGGGACCUCCCAAUAUUGAGAGUGGAACAGCUCCAACCAGAGACUGAGAGAGAUUUCAGAAUCAGAAGAAGCAGGGACUUGAACCUGUGUCUACUACAUCACGG